rnacentral:rRNA from 1 species
UAGGCGUAAAUGAUGCGAGUUAAGUGUGGGGGCAUCUACGAGAUGGCCCUGUGCUGUAGGGUAGCCGUUAAACUCGCUGCCUGGGGAGUACGGUCGCAAGGCUGAAACUUAAAGGAAUUGGCGGGGGGAGCACCACAAGAGGUGGAGGCUGCGGCUCAAUUGGACUCAACGCCGGAAAUCUCACCGGGAGCGACAGCAGUGUGAUAGCCAGAUUAAAGGUCUUGCUAGACGAGCUGAGAGGUGGUGCAUGGCGUAGUCGUGU